rnacentral:rRNA from 1 species
CUAGCUACAGGCUUAACACAUGCAAGUCGAGGGGCAGCAUGGUCUUAGCUUGCUAAGGCCGAUGGCGAUCGGCGCACGGGUGAGUAACACGUAUCCAACCUGCCGUCUACUCUUGGACAGCCUUCUGAAAGGAAGAUUAAUACAAGAUGGCAUCAUGAGUCCGCAUGUUCACAUGAUUAAAGGUAUUCCGGUAGACGAUGGGGAUGCGUUCCAUUAGAUAGUAGGCGGGGUAACGGCCCACCUAGUCUUCGAUGGAUAGGGGUUCUGAGAGGAAGGUCCCCCACAUUGGAACUGAGACACGGUCCAAACUCCUACGGGAGGCAGCAGUGAGGAAUAUUGGUCAAUGGGCGAGAGCCUGAACCAGCCAAGUAGCGUGAAGGAUGACUGCCCUAUGGGUUGUAAACUCCUUUUAUAAAGGAAUAAAGUCGGGUAUGCAUACCCGUUUGCAUGUACUUUAUGAAUAAGGAUCGGCUAACUCCGUGCCAGCAGCCGCGGUAAUACGGAGGAUCCGAGCGUUAUCCGGAUUUAUUGGGUUUAAAGGGAGCGUAGAUGGAUGUUUAAGUCAGUUGUGAAAGUUUGCGGCUCAACCGUAAAAUUGCAGUUGAUACUGGAUAUCUUGAGUGCAGUUGAGGCAGGCGGAAUUCGUGGUGUAGCGGUGAAAUGCUUAGAUAUCACGAAGAACUCCGAUUGCGAAGGCAGCCUGCUAAGCUGCAACUGACAUUGAGGCUCGAAAGUGUGGGUAUCAAACAGGAUUAGAUACCCUGGUAGUCCACACGGUAAACGAUGAAUACUCGCUGUUUGCGAUAUACGGCAAGCGGCCAAGCGAAAGCGUUAAGUAUUCCACCUGGGGAGUACGCCGGCAACGGUGAAACUCAAAGGAAUUGACGGGGGCCCGCACAAGCGGAGGAACAUGUGGUUUAAUUCGAUGAUACGCGAGGAACCUUACCCGGGCUUAAAUUGCAGAUGAAUUACGGUGAAAGCCGUAAGCCGCAAGGCAUCUGUGAAGGUGCUGCAUGGUUGUCGUCAGCUCGUGCCGUGAGGUGUCGGCUUAAGUGCCAUAACGAGCGCAACCCUUGUUGUCAGUUACUAACAGGUUCCGCUGAGGACUCUGACAAGACUGCCAUCGUAAGAUGUGAGGAAGGUGGGGAUGACGUCAAAUCAGCACGGCCCUUACGUCCGGGGCUACACACGUGUUACAAUGGGGGGUACAGAGGGCCGCUACCACGCGAGUGGAUGCCAAUCCCCAAAACCUCUCUCAGUUCGGACUGGAGUCUGCAACCCGACUCCACGAAGCUGGAUUCGCUAGUAAUCGCGCAUCAGCCACGGCGCGGUGAAUACGUUCCCGGGCCUUGUACACACCGCCCGUCAAGCCAUGGGAGCCGGGGGUACCUGAAGUGCGUAACCGCGAGGAGCGCCCUAGGGUAAAACUGGUGACUGGG